rnacentral:pre_miRNA from 1 species
CUACUACUCCCUCCGUUCGGAAUUACUUGUCACAAAAAUGGAUGUAUCUACAACUAAAAUACAUCUAGAUACAUUCAUUUCUUGGACGAGUAAUUCCGAACGGAGGGAGUAGUAA